rnacentral:rRNA from 1 species
CCUACGGGAGGCAGCAGUGAGGAAUAUUGGUCAAUGGUCGGGAGACUGAACCAGCCAAGCCGCGUGAGGGAGGAAGGUACAGAGUAUCGUAAACCUCUUUUGUCAGGGAACAAAGACUGGGACGCGUCCCCGGAUGAGUGUACCUGAAGAAAAAGCAUCGGCUAACUCCGUGCCAGCAGCCGCGGUAAUACGGAGGAUGCGAGUGUUAUCGGGAUUUAUUGGGUUUAAAGGGUGCGCAGGCGGUCUGUUCAGUCAGCGGUCAAAGCCCGGGGCUCAACCCCGGCCCGCCGUUGAAACUGGCAGUCGCGAGUUGGAGAGAAGGAUGCGGAAUGCGCGGUGUAGCGGUGAAAUGCAUAGAUAUCGCGCAGAACUCCGAUUGCGAAGGCAGCAUGCCGGCUCCACACUGACGCUGAGGCACGAAAGCGUGGGUAUCGAACAGGAUUAGAUACCCGGGUAGUC